AGUAUGUGGUUUAAUUCGUAUGCAAACGCGAACGAACCUUACCUCGGUCUUGACAUCCCGGAGACCCUUAGGAAACGUAGGGGGUGCUUCCAUCUGGAAGAAUCUGGAGACAGGUGCUGCAUGGCUGUCGUCAGCUCGUGUCGUGAGAUGUUGGGUUAAGUCCCGCAACGAGCGCAACCCUUGCCUUUAGUUGCCAGCAGUUCGGCUGGGCACUCUAAAGGGACUGCCGGUGUUAAACCGGAGGAAGGUGGGGAUGACGUCAAGUCCUCAUGGCCUUUAUGACCAGGGCUACACACGUACUACAAUGGCCGAUACAAAGGGCAGCGACACUGCGAGGUGAAGCCAAUCCCGUAAAAUCGGUCUCAGUCCGGAUUGGAGUCUGCAACUCGACUCCAUGAAGUUGGAAUCGCUAGUAAUCGUGGAUCAGCAUGCCACGGUGAAUACGUUCCCGGGCCUU
rnacentral:rRNA from 1 species